rnacentral:ncRNA from 1 species
CUAAAGUUUGAUUAUAGCUUAUAAAUUAAUUACUUCUACUAUUCCUCUUCAUGCAUUACACAAUAUCCUUUACAUCCAUUUAAUAUCCAGCUUAAUGCGCCUAUUAAUAGUAAACCGCAGUUUUAAAUACUGGUUAUUUUUCCACUAAAGACCCGGUUAAUGAAAACAGAAUUGGUAAAAUACGUGCCAGCUACCGCGGUUAUACGUUAAAUUCAAAUUAAUUAUCUCGGAAAUUAUGAUUAUUCAGAUAUAAAAUCUUGCUUUAGCAGUUUAAUCCUAAUAAUUUUUGAUUAUUCCUAAUAUAUCUUACUCAAUUAAUUCAUGAAAGCUAAGCCAGAAACAAGGAUUAGAUACCCUUUUAUUCUUAGCCAUAAAUUAUCCAGGGCACUAAAAAUUCACAUUUAAAACCCAAAUAACUUGGCGGCAUCUAAUUCCAAUCAGGGGAACCUGUUUAUUAAUUCGACAUUCCACGUUAAUCCUUCCUAUCUUUGACUCUCCAGCUUGUAUACUGCCGCCGCCAGCUUACCAUUCAAAUGAAAGUAAGCCAAAAGAAUAAAAUUCCUUACGCCAGGUCAAAGUGCAGCUUAUAGAUAGGUUACAAUGGGUUACACUCUCAAAUCAAGAAUUUAGAAUUUAUAUGAAAAAUUAAAUGACAUUGGACUUGAAAGUAAUUUAUUCAAAUAUAGAAUAAAUGAAUAAGGCAACCUCAGAUGUGCACAUAUCGCCCGUCACUCUCAUUGAAAAACGAGAUAAGUCGUAACACAGUAGGUGUAAUGGAAAUUGCACCUCUCAGGAU